rnacentral:rRNA from 1 species
CGCGUAGGUGGCUGUUUAAGUCAGAUGUGAAAGUCCACGGCUCAACCAUGGAAGUGCAUUUGAAACUGGACAGCUUGAGUACUGGAGGGGGUAGUGGAAUUCCCGGUGUAGAGGUGAAAUUCGUAGAUAUCGGGAGGAAUACCGGUGGCGAAGGCGACUGCCUGGCCAGAUACUGACACUGAGGUGCGAAAGCGUGGGGAGCAAACA